rnacentral:rRNA from 1 species
UACAGAGGGUGCGAGCGUUAAUCGGAAUUACUGGGCGUAAAGCGCGCGUAGACGGUUUUGUAAGUCAGAUGUGAAAUCCCCGGGCUCAACCUGGGAACUGCAUUUGAGACUGCAUGGCUAGAGUAUGGAAGAGGGAAGUGGAAUUUCCGGUGUAGCGGUGAAAUGCGUAGAUAUCAGGAGGAACACCGAUGGCGAAGGCAGGUCUCUGGGCCAUAACUGACGCUGAGAAGCGAAAGCAUGGGGAGCGAACAGG